GCCGAGCAGCAAGCGCCUGCUUGUGACCCGAGCGGGGGCAAACAAGGUGGUGUGGAUGCCAAUUGCGUCGCGUGGGGCCUGGGCCUGUUGCUGCACUCUGCCGGCCCGCCCGUCCCAAGUUGCGUAGUGGGCCGUGGGCGCUUUGGCGAAGGCCUCGGCGUCCCGGUUCCUAGAGUGGCGGGCAUUGCGUUAGGCUGGCCUCACAGAGCAGCGAAUACCGCCCGCUUCCAACGGUGGGAGGAUAACGGGCCGCUGCGCUCUAGGCUCGCUUAAGGCCCAUGCGUCCUCUCUGGCAGACCACCAUUUUU
rnacentral:SRP_RNA from 1 species